rnacentral:rRNA from 1 species
GAUGAACGCUGGCGGCGUGCCUAACACAUGCAAGUCGAGCGAACAGACGAGGAGCUUGCUCCUCUGACGUUAGCGGCGGACGGGUGAGUAACACGUGGAUAACCUACCUAUAAGACUGGGAUAACUUCGGGAAACCGGAGCUAAUACCGGAUAAUAUAUUGAACCGCAUGGUUCAAUAGUGAAAGACGGUUUUGCUGUCACUUAUAGAUGGAUCCGCGCCGCAUUAGCUAGUUGGUAAGGUAACGGCUUACCAAGGCGACGAUGCGUAGCCGACCUGAGAGGGUGGUCGGCGACACUGGAAGUGAGACGCGGUCCAGACUCCUACGGGAGGCAGCAGUAGGGAAUCUUCCGCAAUGGGCGAAAGCCUGACGGAGCAACGCGGCGUGAGUGAUGAAGGUCUUCGGAUCGUGAAGCUCUGUUAUUAGGGGAGAACAAAUGUGUAAGUAACUGUGCACGUCUUGACGGUACCUGGUCAAAAAGCCACGGCUAACUACGUG